AGCAGUGACAAAUUUUAUACAAAACUGGCGGUUACAAAUAUCUAGCGUAUGUGUGAUCUGUUGGGGUGUUGUCCAGUUGUCCCUUGGCAUAGUCAGUUUUCUCUUCUGGAUUUGAAAGCCUGUACUCAAUGUGCUCUCGGAGUUUUCUGGCUGUAUUGCGGAGUGAUCUCCCCUUAACUGUCUGUCGCUUCUUAUAAACCUUGUGGUACUGGUUCACCCUUUCAAUCUGUUGUACUGUUUUCUCGCUCCUAGGUGAAAUACUGGCGCCGACAGCUUGGAGUUUGGCAGCCGUGGACUUGUCCUGGCCAUUGUUAAGUCUGUGGAUUGUGGACGCCGCCCUUCCCUCCAUAUUUCUGCUGUAGUUUACAUUCUUGGGCAAGGAGACGCUGAGUGAUCUGUUGACAGCUUCGCACUUUUGAGUACUGGUGUUCAUCCGGAGACUGGUGACGGCUGUCUCGCUCAACCUCAUGUGCAGUACUUCGGUCAAUAGUUUCCUGUCGUUGUCAUCCAUGUUGAAAGGGCAGAGUUUACUGGCGGAUAAAAACAGGGAUCUCUCCCACCAGCUGCUGGUUUCCCCUCCGGAGCAAACCACACUGUUCCUGCGGCAUUUGGAACAGUCCCCACCGUAACACCUGACCGUUGCAUCCACAACCCUGGAUGCCAAUGUGACACCCUUUGAUGUGACUGUGUAGAGUAAUAACCUGCUGUGAGACAACAGCAAUGGUGCAGGGAGGUUUUUGCAUGAUAAACAUCUUGUCUUUCCAAAACAGUUGACCUGAUGGAGAUAUCUUGAACGGUAUAUGCACUGCAAAGCUUCAAAGUUUACCCUUCAGAGUUUUUUCACCCUGAAAAAAAGACACAUGUCCAAGAUGGGGGUACCCCAACUUGAAUUCAUUCAACUCCAAAGUUUCUGCAUGUAUCAAGCCCUAAUUUUGCCUGUGAGGUUCAGAAGUGUCAGGAAUUGUGUGGUGCAAAAAUUAUUGAUUUUGAAAGAAGGUGGCUGGUGUGAUAGGACACAGACCCCCAUUACAACUUCCGUUUUUCGGUAGGGACGAUUGUAGUUCUGUGAAUUUUAGGGUAUAAAGUCUUUUUUUGCUCCCAGGCGUCCAUUUUUGGUGCACAGGUGCAUGCUUGGUAUUAAAAUGCUGGAAACUGUCUAAACUUUGAGGAGGUAUGAGCUUUAUUGAUGAAAGUUUGAAACUCUGGGCGAGAGGACACAAGGUGUGAGGUAGUGAUGAGGCUGCGAGUGACGUCCCCUUGGCGUUGCUAGGCACGCCUCCCAGCUGCCGGCAUGGAAAGGUCCAGAUUUUGACGGUCAACCUAUGUCAAGAUUUUUAUGGCUUCUUUCUCACAGGCUGGGCCAGGUAUGCACCAAAGCUUAUUGGCCACGGAAUGUUUGGGACUGAGCUACAGUGCUAGACGUUAACAUUGUCGCUUAUGGAAAAUUAA